rnacentral:rRNA from 1 species
CGAUUUCCGAAUGGGGAAACCCAGUGUGAUUCGUCACACUAUCAUUAACUGAAUCCAUAGGUUAAUGAGGCGAACCGGGGGAACUGAAACAUCUAAGUACCCCGAGGAAAAGAAAUCAACCGAGAUUCCCCCAGUAGCGGCGAGCGAACGGGGAGCAGCCCAGAGCCUGAAUCAGUGUGUGUGUUAGUGGAAGCGUCUGGAAAGGCGUGCGAUACAGGGUGACAGCCCCGUACACAAAAAUGCACAUACUGUGAGCUCGAUGAGUAGGGCGGGACACGUGGUAUCCUGUCUGAAUAUGGGGGGACCAUCCUCCAAGGCUAAAUACUCCUGACUGACCGAUAGUGAACCAGUACCGUGAGGGAAAGGCGAAAAGAACCCCGGCGAGGGGAGUGAAAAAGAACCUGAAACCGUGUACGUACAAGCAGUGGGAGCACGCUUAGGCGUGUGACUGCGUACCUUUUGUAUAAUGGGUCAGCGACUUAUAUUCUGUAGCAAGGUUAACCGAAUAGGGGAGCCGAAGGGAAACCGAGUCUUAACUGGGCGUUAAGUUGCAGGGUAUAGACCCGAAACCCGGUGAUCUAGCCAUGGGCAGGUUGAAGGUUGGGUAACACUAACUGGAGGACCGAACCGACUAAUGUUGAAAAAUUAGCGGAUGACUUGUGGCUGGGGGUGAAAGGCCAAUCAAACCGGGAGAUAGCUGGUUCUCCCCGAAAGCUAUUUAGGUAGCGCCUCGUGAAUUCAUCUCCGGGGGUAGAGCACUGUUUCGGCAAGGGGGUCAUCCCGACUUACCAACCCGAUGCAAACUGCGAAUACCGGAGAAUGUUAUCACGGGAGACACACGGCGGGUGCUAACGUCCGUCGUGAAGAGGGAAACAACCCAGACCGCCAGCUAAGGUCCCAAAGUCAUGGUUAAGUGGGAAACGAUGUGGGAAGGCCCAGACAGCCAGGAUGUUGGCUUAGAAGCAGCCAUCAUUUAAAGAAAGCGUAAUAGCUCACUGGUCGAGUCGGCCUGCGCGGAAGAUGUAACGGGGCUAAACCAUGCACCGAAGCUGCGGCAGCGACGCUUAUGCGUUGUUGGGUAGGGGAGCGUUCUGUAAGCCUGUGAAGGUGUGCUGUGAGGUAUGCUGGAGGUAUCAGAAGUGCGAAUGCUGACAUAAGUAACGAUAAAGCGGGUGAAAAGCCCGCUCGCCGGAAGACCAAGGGUUCCUGUCCAACGUUAAUCGGGGCAGGGUGAGUCGACCCCUAAGGCGAGGCCGAAAGGCGUAGUCGAUGGGAAACAGGUUAAUAUUCCUGUACUUGGUGUUACUGCGAAGGGGGGACGGAGAAGGCUAUGUUGGCCGGGCGACGGUUGUCCCGGUUUAAGCGUGUAGGCUGGUUUUCCAGGCAAAUCCGGAAAAUCAAGGCCGAGGCGUGAUGACGAGGCACUACGGUGCUGAAGCAACAAAUGCCCUGCUUCCAGGAAAAGCCUCUAAGCAUCAGGUAACAUCAAAUCGUACCCCAAACCGACACAGGUGGUCAGGUAGAGAAUACCAAGGCGCUUGAGAGAACUCGGGUGAAGGAACUAGGCAAAAUGGUGCCGUAACUUCGGGAGAAGGCACGCUGAUACGUAGGUGAAGCGACUUGCUCGUGGAGCUGAAAUCAGUCGAAGAUACCAGCUGGCUGCAACUGUUUAUUAAAAACACAGCACUGUGCAAACACGAAAGUGGACGUAUACGGUGUGACGCCUGCCCGGUGCCGGAAGGUUAAUUGAUGGGGUUAGCGCAAGCGAAGCUCUUGAUCGAAGCCCCGGUAAACGGCGGCCGUAACUAUAACGGUCCUAAGGUAGCGAAAUUCCUUGUCGGGUAAGUUCCGACCUGCACGAAUGGCGUAAUGAUGGCCAGGCUGUCUCCACCCGAGACUCAGUGAAAUUGAACUCGCUGUGAAGAUGCAGUGUACCCGCGGCAAGACGGAAAGACCCCGUGAACCUUUACUAUAGCUUGACACUGAACAUUGAGCCUUGAUGUGUAGGAUAGGUGGGAGGCUUUGAAGUGUGGACGCCAGUCUGCAUGGAGCCGACCUUGAAAUACCACCCUUUAAUGUUUGAUGUUCUAACGUGGACCCGUGAUCCGGGUUGCGGACAGUGUCUGGUGGGUAGUUUGACUGGGGCGGUCUCCUCCUAAAGAGUAACGGAGGAGCACGAAGGUUGGCUAAUCCUGGUCGGACAUCAGGAGGUUAGUGCAAUGGCAUAAGCCAGCUUGACUGCGAGCGUGACGGCGCGAGCAGGUGCGAAAGCAGGUCAUAGUGAUCCGGUGGUUCUGAAUGGAAGGGCCAUCGCUCAACGGAUAAAAGGUACUCCGGGGAUAACAGGCUGAUACCGCCCAAGAGUUCAUAUCGACGGCGGUGUUUGGCACCUCGAUGUCGGCUCAUCACAUCCUGGGGCUGAAGUAGGUCCCAAGGGUAUGGCUGUUCGCCAUUUAAAGUGGUACGCGAGCUGGGUUUAGAACGUCGUGAGACAGUUCGGUCCCUAUCUGCCGUGGGCGCUGGAGAACUGAGGGGGGCUGCUCCUAGUACGAGAGGACCGGAGUGGACGCAUCACUGGUGUUCGGGUUGUCAUGCCAAUGGCACUGCCCGGUAGCUAAAUGCGGAAGAGAUAAGUGCUGAAAGCAUCUAAGCACGAAACUUGCCCCGAGAUGAGUUCUCCCUGACCCUUUAAGGGUCCUGAAGGAACGUUGAAGACGACGACGUUGAUAGGCCGGGUGUGUAAGCGCAGCGAUGCGUUGAGCUAACCGGUACUAAUGAACCGUGAGGCUUAACCUUACAACGCCGAAG